CAAGGCUGAGGCGUGAUGACGAGGCACUACGGUGCUGAAGCGACAAAUGCCCUGCUUCCAGGAAAAGCCUCUAAGCAUCAGGUAACAUCAAAUCGUACCCCAAACCGACACAGGUGGUCAGGUAGAGAAUACCAAGGCGCUUGAGAGAACUCGGGUGAAGGAACUAGGCAAAAUGGUGCCGUAACUUCGGGAGAAGGCACGCUGAUAUGUAGGUGAAGCGACUUGCUCGUGGAGCUGAAAUCAGUCGAAGAUACCAGCUGGCUGCAACUGUUUAUUAAAAACACAGCACUGUGCAAACACGAAAGUGGACGUAUACGGUGUGACGCCUGCCCGGUGCCGGAAGGUUAAUUGAUGGGGUUAGCGGCAACGCGAAGCUCUUGAUCGAAGCCCCGGUAAACGGCGGCCGUAACUAUAACGGUCCUAAGGUAGCGAAAUUCCUUGUCGGGUAAGUUCCGACCUGCACGAAUGGCGUAAUGAUGGCCAGGCUGUCUCCACCCGAGACUCAGUGAAAUUGAACUCGCUGUGAAGAUGCAGUGUACCCGCGGCAAGACGGAAAGACCCCGUGAACCUUUACUAUAGCUUGACACUGAACAUUGAGCCUUGAUGUGUAGGAUAGGUGGGAGGCUUUGAAGUGUGGACGCCAGUCUGCAUGGAGCCGACCUUGAAAUACCACCCUUUAAUGUUUGAUGUUCUAACGUUGGCCCGUAAUCCGGGUUGCGGACAGUGUCUGGUGGGUAGUUUGACUGGGGCGGUCUCCUCCUAAAGAGUAACGGAGGAGCACGAAGGUUGGCUAAUCCUGGUCGGACAUCAGGAGGUUAGUGCAAUGGCAUAAGCCAGCUUGACUGCGAGCGUGACGGCGCGAGCAGGUGCGAAAGCAGGUCAUAGUGAUCCGGUGGUUCUGAAUGGAAGGGCCAUCGCUCAACGGAUAAAAGGUACUCCGGGGAUAACAGGCUGAUACCGCCCAAGAGUUCAUAUCGACGGCGGUGUUUGGCACCUCGAUGUCGGCUCAUCACAUCCUGGGGCUGAAGUAGGUCCCAAGGGUAUGGCUGUUCGCCAUUUAAAGUGGUACGCGAGCUGGGUUUAGAACGUCGUGAGACAGUUCGGUCCCUAUCUGCCGUGGGCGCUGGAGAACUGAGGGGGGCUGCUCCUAGUACGAGAGGACCGGAGUGGACGCAUCACUGGUGUUCGGGUUGUCAUGCCAAUGGCACUGCCCGGUAGCUAAAUGCGGAAGAGAUAAGUGCUGAAAGCAUCUAAGCACGAAACUUGCCCCGAGAUGAGUUCUCCCUGAGACUUAGAGUCUCCUGAAGGAACGUUGAAGACGACGACGUUGAUAGGCCGGGUGUGUAAGCGCAGCGAUGCGUUGAGCUAACCGGUACUAAUGAACCGUGAGGCUUAACCUUACAACGCCGAAG
rnacentral:rRNA from 1 species